GUGGGGAAUCUUAGACAAUGGGCGCAAGCCUGAUCUAGCCAUGCCGCGUGAGCGAUGAAGGCCUUAGGGUUGUAAAGCUCUUUCGUGGGGGAAGAUAAUGACUGUACCCCAAGAAGAAGCCCCGGCUAACUCCGUGCCAGCAGCCGCGGUAAUACGGAGGGGGCUAGCGUUGUUCGGAAUUACUGGGCGUAAAGCGCACGUAGGCGGACUGGAAAGUCAGGGGUGAAAUCCCGGGGCUCAACCCCGGAACUGCCUUUGAAACUCCCAGUCUUGAGUUCGAGAGAGGUGAGUGGAAUUCCGAGUGUAGAGGUGAAAUUCGUGGAUAUUCGGAGGAACACCAGUGGCGAAGGCGGCUCACUGGCUCGAUACUGACGCUGAGGUGCGAAAGCGUGGGGAGCAAACAGGAUUAGAUACCCUAGUAGUCC
rnacentral:rRNA from 1 species